UGUGCAAUGUAUAGUAUGGACGUGAAUAUUCCAGGUCCAUAAAUACACUGUAAACAC
ensembl:miRNA